rnacentral:rRNA from 1 species
AACGAACGCUGGCGGCAGGCCUAACACAUGCAAGUCGAGCGCGCCCUUCGGGGUGAGCGGCGGACGGGUGAGUAACGCGUGGGAACGUGCCCUUCUCUGCGGAAUAGCCUCGGGAAACUGAGAGUAAUACCGCAUACGCCCUCGGGGGGAAAGAUUUAUCGGCGAAGGAUCGGCCCGCGUUGGAUUAGGUAGUUGGUGGGGUAAUGGCCCACCAAGCCGACGAUCCAUAGCUGGUUUGAGAGGAUGAUCAGCCACACUGGGACUGAGACACGGCCCAGCCUCCUACGGGAGGCAGCAGUGGGGAAUCUUAGACAAUGGGGGCAACCCUGAUCUAGCCAUGCCGCGUGAGUGAUGAAGGCCUUAGGGUUGUAAAGCUCUUUCAGCUGGGAAGAUAAUGACGGUACCAGAAGAAGAAGCCCCGGCUAACUCCGUG